GAAACCAGAGCAAAACAAAAUGCGAGGAAGGAGACAAGAUUAGACUCACUUUCUUUGAGGUGUCAAACAAUAGAGGGAAAAUUCAGUUGAAAUCUGGACCCUGUAGCAUCUAUAAGGUUAUUAAGGCUGCAAAGCCCAAAACUAAGGUGAAAAGUGUGGAGUGAAGUCAACUCAUCUCAAAAGCACUGUUCUGAAGAAUCCUAAUUCUGCUUCUUGAACCAGACUUAAUUAACUACCUGAGGAUAGCAGUUUACAGCCGCAUAUUCCUAUUAUAUUAGUAAGAAAAGGACAAACACACUCACACACAAAAAAACCCAACUGAAAAUGUAUUAUUAAUUAAUUAUUAUUAAUUAAAUUAUUGCUUUGUCUAAGGGUUGGGCUAUUAUUCUUCUCUACAAAGAAAUUGAGGGUAUAAGUAUGGCAGAAUUGGAGAUGUGACAGCUAUGGCUGGUAUGAGAGAAGCCUGCGGUUGAUAGAGAAGAAGGUUGGUGAUAUAUCUUUUUUAAUUUUAAUUUUUUUAAUUUUCUUUCGGGGAGGAGGUUACAAGGGUGGAGGUUGGAUAUGGGAGGACUAAGACAUGAGUGAGAUGAUGUUAAAAAAAAGGAAAGAUUGUUGAAAAAUAAAUAAACAUGAUUUUAUUCAGAAUUCAGAAAGUUAC
rnacentral:lncRNA from 1 species